ACGUGCCCUAGAGUGGGGGAUAACUAGUCGAAAGACUAGCUAAUACCGCAUACGAUCUACGGAUGAAAGUGGGGGAUCGCAAGACCUCAUGCUCCUGGAGCGGCCGAUAUCUGAUUAGCUAGUUGGUGGGGUAAAAGCCUACCAAGGCGACGAUCAGUAGCUGGUCUGAGAGGACGACCAGCCACACUGGGACUGAGACACGGCCCAGACUCCUACGGGAGGCAGCAGUGGGGAAUUUUGGACAAUGGGGGCAACCCUGAUCCAGCAAUGCCGCGUGAGUGAAGAAGGCCUUCGGGUUGUAAAGCUCUUUUGUCAGGGAAGAAACGGUAGUAGCUAAUAUCUAUUACUAAUGACGGUACCUGAAGAAUAAGCACCGGCUAACUACGUGCCAGCAGCCGCGGUAAUACGUAGGGUGCAAGCGUUAAUCGGAAUUACUGGGCGUAAAGCGUGCGCAGGCGGUUGUGUAAGUCAGAUGUGAAAUCCCCGGGCUCAACCUGGGAAUUGCAUUUGAGACUGCACGGCUAGAGUGUGUCAGAGGGGGGUAGAAUUCCACGUGUAGCAGUGAAAUGCGUAGAUAUGUGGAGGAAUACCGAUGGCGAAGGCAGCCCCCUGGGAUAACA
rnacentral:rRNA from 2 species